UACGAAGGGGGCUAGCGUUGCUCGGAAUCACUGGGCGUAAAGCGCACGUAGGCGGACUCUUAAGUCGGUGGUGAAAUCCUGGAGCUCAACUCCAGAACUGCCUUCGAUACUGAGAGUCUCGAGUCCGGGAGAGGUGAGUGGAACUGCGAGUGUAGAGGUGAAAUUCGUAGAUAUUCGCAAGAACACCAGUGGCGAAGGCGGCUCACUGGCCCGGUACUGACGCUGAGGUGCGAAAGCGUGGGGAGCAACAGAUG
rnacentral:rRNA from 1 species